AACGCACAUUGCGCUUCUUGGUAUUCCAGGAAGCAUGCCUGUCUGAGCGUCAGUUAAUAUCUCAAUCCCCAAUGGGGUUGGUAGUGAGCUGUGCGAAUGAUGAUAUUUCGCUGGCUUGAAAGAGAUGGGGCGUCGUGGCCUGGUUUACAGUGUGAUAGGUUUUACCAACUCGCUGGAGCGGGCCUGAUCGCGAAGCCCAAACUUCUUCUCUAGGGUUCCCUUGCGGAAGAAACAUUUGAUCUUUUGACCUCAGAUCAGGUAGGAUUACCCGCUGAACUUAA
rnacentral:misc_RNA from 1 species